ACAUGGAGCAGCUUUCUCCGGGUGCGGCUACGUUCGGCUUCAGCGAGCGGCGUAUGGGAGAAAGGAGCAUAGUGAAUUCACAAGACGCGGACAGGUACUCAGGAAGGUCCUGACCUAAUAGAGUUCCUAGCUGCUGGGUGUCUCAUCCAUCCCUCAUUGAAAAUGGUUUGUCAGCCAGAGAGACACAGGGCAGGGAGAUCAGAGCCUUCAAUAAAUCCUGCAGUGAGUGAUCAGGGAACUACACAUCCGCUCUUCUUGGCGAAAAUAAAGAAUCAUUUCUCAACGAAAAAACGGCACAUCACAAAGCUAUGUCAUGGAUUUCUGGCACACACCACCGACCAGUGUAUCUGGUCAACACAACCAUGAACCAAGCAAUGAUUCCUCAUCCCACACUCGCAGGAAAUAUCUGAUACCUUCUCAUUUGAAUGUUCACAUAAACCAUUGGUUUAAUAUUCAGCCUUACAAAUGAA